rnacentral:rRNA from 1 species
CAGCCGCCGCGGUAAAACGAAGGGUGCAAGCGUUAAUCGGAAUUACUGGGCGUAAAGCGUGCGUAGGCGGUUUGUUAAGUCUGCUGUGAAAUCCCCGGGCUCAACCUGGGAAUGGCAGUGGAUACUGGCAAGCUAGAGUGUGUCAGAGGAUGGUGGAAUUCCCGGUGUAGCGGUGAAAUGCGUAGAGAUCGGGAGGAACAUCAGUGGCGAAGGCGGCCAUCUGGGACAACACUGACGCUGAGGCACGAAAGCGUGGGGAGCAAACAGGAUUAGAUACCCCCGUAGUCCCUGUCUCUUAUAC